rnacentral:rRNA from 1 species
CGGCCCUACGGGGGGCAGCAGUGGGGAAUAUUGCACAAUGGGGGAAACCCUGAUGCAGCGACGCCGCGUGAGUGAAGAAGUAUUUCGGUAUGUAAAGCUCUAUCAGCAGGGAAGAAAAUGACGGUACCUGACUAAGAAGCUCCGGCUAACUACGUGCCAGCAGCCGCGGUAAUACGUAGGGGGCAAGCGUUAUCCGGAUUUACUGGGUGUAAAGGGAGCGUAGGCGGCAAG